ACAGCUUUCUUCCAAGUGUCAAAGUGACUUUGUGAGUUUGCAAAGUCAGGUUUUAGUGACAUUGGGCUUUCAUCUUCAGGUCUUUUCAAAACACAGCCGGUUGUGGAAAAAGCAAGCAGGCGUGUAUGCGUGCACAGCGAUAUUCCAUGUCCAGGAAUGGCAUUUGCAGUGUCAGUUUGAAAGUCUACGGAAGAUUUCAGGUAGGGUGGCUUCAGUGAAUCAACGGCCAUUUGUCAAGGACUCUAGAACAAGCAGUCGUGGGGCUUUUCUUCUGCUCUCAGUAUGUGGAAUCAGUGUUCUCCGGGAUGAAGUUACAAUCAUAGGCACAGAUAGCAGGGAGAUAAUGAACUAAUGCUUGGAAAAAGAAGGAGAUUUGAUCAAGCCUCCAAAAGAUGUCGAGACAGGGCUCUUGCACCUUGGUGCCUGUGGAAACCACUCCGGAGCCCGCAGAUUCCAUGGCAGGUACAAGCAGUAAGGACACCGGCUCCGACAGAUGAGGCUCUGGAGCAACUUCUGCAGAGUCCUACUGCUCCGACUCCUGGUAACGUCUGUGGGGCUCUCCUGGUCUGUAGCAGGGGCAGUUGGCCAGAGCCAAGGUUCACCCUUCUGAAGUCAACAAGCCUGAGGGAAUCACAUUGCCUUGAAGCCACCGCAGAGUCAUGAAAAGCAGCUGAAAACAUAACUCAGCCUCCUCAGAGAGCACCCGGCUGGGGAACAAACUGCAGUCUUUCCCUCACCCAGAGGAACUACGAAAAGCCCUGUAAGUGACCUCUUCAGCAAAGACUUGCAUUGGCUUCUCCUCUCCUCACGUAUCACUUACACUAUAUACAUACCGUUGUUCCCACCACCUCUCGCCUGUGUCACUGUACCUGCCUUCUAACCUCAGAGUUUAAUUCCACAAAGGCUUUCAGGGGGAAGUCAGCAUGCCGAGAUGGUGUGAGUUUACAUACACCACGUUGGCUACUUUUGUCCUAAUUCCCCAUGUGGCCACUUUGGGCGCAUAUUAAAGGACUUUCCGUAGGCAGCAGUUUCGAAGCUGAGUACGAUGCCUUGCAUGUCAGCGGGCACCCAAGGGUUUGGUGUAGGGACACCUGUCUGCACCCUAGAAAGGCAAUUACCUUUUUGUACAGAAGACAAGCCCUCAAUAACAUCACGGCAGUUAUAUACAGAACUUAUAUAUACAUAUACAGAAUUUAUAACCCUGCCUCACCUGCCUUUUUAAGAAGAAAGCCUAGAAAACAGGGAUACGGAUGAGUGGAGGGUUUCUUUAUCAUCAGUGAGUCAUUGCUUGUUGAAAAUUUUGUCUACCUAGUUCCAUGGCAUACCUGGGAGUUGCCCACAUAUAACCCAUCUAUUGCUCUCAGCCCCAAUAAAUAUAUUUAAAAUGCAGCUGAGCAAAUGGAUCACAAGGACUACUAAAAUCAUACGACUCUGGAAACUUCUUUUGCUUCCAGUUAUUUCUUGUUUUCGUGGUGAUCUUUAACUUGAGAGCUAAAUUACUGUCUGACAUAAUAGCUUGUGGUGCAAAGAGACAGUUUCUCCAAAUGAAUUUGCUAUGAGACAGUAAAAAGUCCUUGUUAUAAAUAGGCUUUUCUAGGUGGGAUGAUGUAAUAUCCAGUAUAAGAUACUAAAACGCCAUUGAUAUUGCAUUCUUUGUUGUAUUAUCCUGCAUAUAAAUCACCAGUGCUCCAACUACAAUGCAUUAGAAGUUAAGAAUAGUUCUAGUCAAUAAUCUACUACAUUAUUGAU